rfam:Triticum aestivum genome assembly, contig: Triticum_aestivum_CS42_TGACv1_scaffold_180638_2DS
CAACUACUCCCUCUGUCCCAAAUUUCUUGUCUUAGAUUUGUCUAGAUAUGGAUGUAUCUAAUACUAAAAUGUGACUUGAUACAUCUGUAUCUAGACAAAUCUAAGACAAGAAUUUUGGGACGGAGGGAGUACUUU